rnacentral:rRNA from 1 species
UACGUAGGGUGCGAGCGUUGUCCGGAAUUAUUGGGCGUAAAGAGCUCGUAGGCGGUGUGUCGCGUCGGCCGUGAAAACCUGGGGCUCAACUCUGGGCGUGCGGUCGAUACGGGCAUCACUUGAGCUCGGCAGGGGAGACUGGAAUUCCUGGUGUAGCGGUGAAAUGCGCAGAUAUCAGGAGGAACACCGGUGGCGAAGGCGGGUCUCUGGGCCGAUACUGACGCUGAGGAGCGAAAGCAUGGGUAGCGAACAGG